rnacentral:rRNA from 1 species
ACGACUCUCGGCAACGGAUAUCUCGGCUCUCGCAUCGAUGAAGAACGUAGCGAAAUGCGAUACCUGGUGUGAAUUGCAGAAUCCCGCGAACCAUCGAGUCUUUGAACGCAAGUUGCGCCCGAGGCCACUCGGCCGAGGGCACGCCUGCCUGGCGUCACGC